ACGUGGGGGGGGUCGCAUCGUCCUUUCCCCCUCGGUAUAAGACGUGAUGGACCGCUGGGAGCCUCCGGUGGGGCUGUGACCGGGAGAACUAUUUGGUGGCUGCAGAGGGACAUGCCAGCCAGAUUCGUGAUCCCAAAGCAAAGUGCUGGAAGAAUCUGAGCAGGAGAGGGCAGCAACAAGCAGACACCGAAGCCCCACGGCAGAUGUGCUGGAAGUACCUGGGCGGUGCUGGGAACCUACCAGCUGUGUCCUGCUGUACCACGCAUACCUCCUGUCUUGCUUUGUGAGGCAGCAGUGGCAAGGACAGCAGGCAGAUUUAAUCAGGGGACUCCCAAAGAGUGACGUCUGCCUUUGUGAGGGAGCUUCUCCUCCAUCCUUCCCCUGAACUUUGGGUAGACACUGACCAAUAGCCACUGCAGAGAAAUUUGGUUUCUGUGAUCUAGCAUUUGGGAAGUGAUGUUUGUUAAUAAUAUUGCUGCAAUAAAAAAUAAGUUAUUCCCAGGAAAAAAUAAGGUAUUCCCUCACAACCAAUGUAGUUAUGGGACAGAUCUUUAAUAUGGUUUUAAUAUAUUUCCUUCCAUGUGUGAGGAGGACUCGCUUUAACCUAAUGGUGGGAAGAAAAGGCAGCAGUGUGGGGAGAGAAAUGGAAAACAAUACAAAAGUGUUUGGGAGUGAGAUUUCUUUUUUCUGCCACAGUUGCAUUGCCUUGCUGGUCUGCUUGUCCCAAAUGUUCAUACAAAGUGAAAUUGUCAUUGGGAUGAUACUGAAUACAGGCUGCCAGUGGAAAGUGUUUGGCCCACGAGAUGUUUCUGAUCAUUCUCUCUUUUUUACUCUAACUGAUGUGUGCAUUUUCCAUUAAUUUUCCUUUGGUUAAACUGUAGCCAUGGGACUGAGAGGAUGUCUCAUGCAUAGUGUUACUGAUACCAUAUGCUGCAGUACAUGGUAGAGACAUUUACUGCAGGACAGUUUUCUGUGGCAUGGAAAUGUUUUUUUUCAUUUUUGCAAGGGAUGAACUGUUUUCUCGCAACGGAGCAAAAUCUCAUAAUUAAGGACAGAGUGAUAUCCCAAGUUUUCACUGUGGUGUUUUGAAUGUCAAGGCCAAAUAUGAAGAAAAGUAUCUUCAUAUCCUGCUAUUUUGUGUGAUUGAACUAGAUCCUAUAUGAGAAAAUAAAUGUUCCUAUGGUAGCGGUGUUGCAUUUCAUCACUGUUUGUGCCUGUUUGAAGGACAAAUACUCCUGAGGAGAGGAGGUUUUACACAGGUUAUCUACACUGUAAGGCUGCUUACAUGGAAGUGAACUGGGAUCUGCAUGGAAAAUCCAACCUGUGCAGCUGGAGAUCAGACAGCCCACUGAAGAGAAAUAACUGCUUGUAGACUGCAGUUAAAGGCAAGGGGUGGAGGGCUGCAGCAGUGGAGUAACAGCUGAGGUGCAUGGUCUCACUGUGGGGUAGUGACUAGCUGAAGUAGGGAGCAGUGCGUGCUUGCACCAAAUAGCAUUUAAUCUGGGCAGGCAUUCAUUCUAACAUAAUCCUGCAUGCCAGGGUCAGGAUUUGCAUUAUAACAGAAGAUGCUGAGAAGUCAAGUUCAGAAAGGAUCUGCUGGUGGAGCCUAAGUAUCUCAUGUCUCCAGCAAAAUGCUGCCCAGGGCGCCAGCUUUUCUGCCAGAUGACAUAGUAUAUUAGCAAGCUGUGCCUGGCAUUUGCCCCUUGCUGGAUAGAGGAGAAGGCUCUGCAGACUAGUAAAAAACAGGAAAUGUUCAUUCAUUAUGCAGAGAUGUAUUUUUAACUUAGAAAUGGUUUUGAAGAGGGAAAAUAGUUACUUCCAGGGCAGAUAUAUAAUAGAGAAAGUUAAGGUGCUUUUGGACACCGUUUUCCCAUCCAGUGGUAAAGCCACAACUGAUGCAAUCAUGAUCCUUCUGGGAGUUCUCCUGUCUUUGAAGCAAUCUCUGAACAUGUUUCCUGGGUCUCUAGUGGCAUGAGACAAUCAGAUAUGCAUUUCCCCGGAGCUUUGCUCAUCAGAGGGGUAGAAAACAGGAAGGUGUUUUGGAAAGAGAUUGAGGUGAGUUAACAAGAAAGAAAAGGCAGUUAUGUUGUGUAGUGUAGGAGUUUGGGAGUCUGUGUGACUCCAGAGGAUUGGGGUUAUGUUAAAUUAGUUUGACAGGUUAUUCUGAAGCAGAAUAUAUUUAUUCCCUGACUUGUAGUUAAAGGGGGUCUGCAGAAGCUUGCUCUGUCUGUGCAGUGGAGAUCUCUCCUCUGUUGUGCUGCCAGCACUGGGAUUUUGCUGCUAGUCUUGGCAGCAGUCAUUGCCUGGUUGUUAGCAGGCUUGAAAUGUCUUUGCAAAUUCUUGCCCCUUCAACGUAAAAUUCCUGACCCUCUCAUCAGCAGUGGGAGCUGUGGUCCAGUAAAGCACUACAAAAUAUUACCUCACUUGGCCAGCUGGUUUCUAUGGCAUUUUUAUUUUUUUCUCCACUCAGGACAUUUCACUGCCCUCUAUAGAAAGUCCCCCCUUGUGCUGUGUAUGUUGCAGUGCAGGCACCACAGAUUUGAAAUGCAGUCAUGAUUCUGAUUUGCUGUGUGGGAUGACAAGAAGAAAACAACAAGGGGAAACUUGAGAGCUUAAAAUUACUGCUUCUGCCAGAGAAGUGCCAAUGACAGCAAAAAGGUAUUUUUACCUCUGCCCAUAGCCAGAUCCAUGCCACACCAACUGAUAUUGACACAGAUGUCUCUUGGUCAUUUAUCUGAUUCUGUGACAAUUCACUAAGUGAAUAUAACCAGCGUGGUUGCAUGAUUGCAUUUCACAUUAGGAGUGUUCUUUAGCAAGACAAAUCAGAACUCUGUAUCACUGUCAUCUUGAUUUAUAGGCCAAGAUGUAUGACUUCUCAGGAAAAUGUUGGCAGCGAAAGACCUAAUACAGUCCCAGGAAGAAUAUAACUAUGGUAUUUUUCAAUGAACAUCGCUUACCUUUGCACUGGUUAUGUGAAAGUAAGGGAUGCUUUAAUACCUGACCGCUAGUCACACUGCAUUGGCUCACUUCCUCUAUGACUGUGGACUGGACAAACAGAGAAAAUGGAUUGAAGGAGAACAGAUGCUAACUCUCAUUAAGCUUUGCUUUGCCACCUCCUUUUACGGGAAGUCUUGAGGGUCAAGGGACUUAGGCAUUUUCUUAAAGAAAAGAGAAGGGGAAGCCCAAGGAAGAGUGAGGCAGAUUUCACAAAUAUCACCAUACAGGUUGAGAAGCUAUGAAGGAAUUCCCAUUAAAACCAAGGAGAAAGAAGUUUCUCAAGGAAGCAAAUCAUUGGCUGUGGAGAUGAUCUGAUGAAACUAUUUUUUUUGCAGGUGCAAGGAGAAUAAUAUACAAUCUGAAAAGGAUGGAUCAUAUCUGACCACCUCCACUGCUGCAAAUACAUGGAAGAGGACUUUGUGGCCCAUUCCUAGGGAGAGGCUGGCUAGCUCAGGGAUUAUUAGUUACAUAAGAUCUCAAACAUAGCCCAAGUGCAGCACUGAUGUUUUGGAAUGAAGCAAUUAUCUAUUUUGUUGAUUUAAGAGCAGAACGACCUAGAUUCUCUCUUCUUUUUUUGUUUUUAUUCCUUUUUUCUCCCUUUUCCUCAUGAGUUGGCCCACUUAGUUGAUUAAACUGCAACUCAAUUAUGACUGGCUGUGUUACAAUUGGGAAUAAAGCAGAUGUAAAA